rnacentral:miRNA from 1 species
GGUGCAUUGUAGGUGCUCAGUAAGUGUUUGUUAAAUGAAUAUUUGAGUAGCACUCUAUACAAAGAACUUUCCUGUGCACU